rnacentral:rRNA from 1 species
UACGAAAGGGGGGCUAGCGUUGCUCGGAAUUACUGGGCGUAAAGGGCGCGUAGGCGGAUAGUUUAGUCAGAGGUGAAAGCCCAGGGCUCAACCCUGGAAUUGCCUUUGAUACUGGCUAUCUUGAGUUCGGGAGAGGUGAGUGGAACUCCGAGUGUAGAGGUGAAAUUCGUAGAUAUUCGGAAGAACACCAGUGGCGAAAGGCGACUCACUGGCCCGAUACUGACGCUGAGGCGCGAAAGCGUGGGGAGCAAACAGG